AUUGAACGCUGGCGGAAUGCUUUGCACAUGCAAGUCGAACGGCAGCACGGGGGCAACCCUGGUGGCGAGUGGCGCACGGGUGAGUAAUACAUCGGAACGUGCCCAGUCGUGGGGGAUAACGUAGCGAAAGUUACGCUAAUACAGCAUACGAUCUACGGAUGAAAGCGGGGGACCGUAAGGCCUCGCGCGAUUGGAGCGGCCGAUGUCAGAUGAGGUAGUUGGUGAGGUAAAGGCUCACCGAGCCGACGAGCUGUAGCUGGUCUGAGAGGACGACCAGCCACACUGGGACUGAGACACGGCCCAGACUCCUACGGGAGGCAGCAGUGGGGAAUUUUGGACAAUGGGCGCAAGCCUGAUCCAGCCAUUCCGCGUGCAGGACGAAGGCCUUCGGGUUGUAAACUGCUUUUGUACGGAACGAAAAGGCUCUGGUUAAUACCUGGGGCUCAUGACGGUACCGUAAGAAUAAGCACCGGCUAACUACGUGCCAGCAGCCGCCGUAA
rnacentral:rRNA from 1 species